AUGCAUCGCCUUCUCACAUUCCCAAAGCAACACAACUCUUCUCCUCUCAAAUAUAUAGCAUUCCAGUAUUAAUUCAAAUAAUCUGUAUUAUUAUUAUUAUGGCUGCACUGCUAGCUUAUUAUCUGGUUUUCUAUCUUUAUUUGCAUGCAUGCACUGCUAGACUUCUAAUGGUUUUGGAUAAAAAAUCUGUUGCUGAUCAACAUCAAUUUUGGAGCAAGGUUAGAUUUGUGAAUUUACUCUUACGUUCAAUUUUAAGCUUGUAUAUUUUAGAGAGAUUAAUGCAAAAUUUGAGUUUUGGAGUGACUAUGAUACCUCUGGUGCAGGAAUCAAACAUCGUUGAUCAGUUGGAUAAUAACAAGUUUUUAUCAGCUCAAAACAAUGAAGG
rnacentral:lncRNA from 1 species